UUAGAGACAACAUCAGUGAUCUACAGUUAUUAAAUCAAUACACAGCUAGUCUUUAUUUCACUAGUUGAGCUACCUCGAAUUCACAUCCAAACAAACAUCAUCAUGUACAAGUUAUUGUUAUUGAUUGUGGCCGCUUUGGCUUUGGUCGCUGUUGCUUCUUCUCAAGUUUUAGUUUACUACCCAACUAAUAACUACGCACCGUUGUACACCUACCCAUCGUAUGCCUACACUUACCCAGUGUCUUACAAUCCAUACAUCACUCUCCUUCGUCGAUGAAUAAAUAUUUUACCAAAUCCGAAACUAUCAGGAGCUGUUCUGCAGUUAUUCAACGCCAAUCGUACGAAAAUAUAUUGAGAAUAUAAAAUGUGUUUAUGUAAUUUACAUAUUUUAUUGAUUGCUAUUUUUUAUCACAGUUAAUUCUUAUAUCUUCUUGUAAACAUGUAUAAUCACAAUGUCAUACUUUUUAAAUUAUUUUUUAAACAAUCGUUUAAUGUAAUAUAUAUAUAAUAAUUUAUUGAAA